rnacentral:tRNA from 1 species
GCCGAGAUAGCCCAGCCCGGUAAGACGCAAGCCUGGAAAGCUUGUGGGUGCAUACCCUCGGGAGUUCAAAUCUCCCUCUCGGCGCCA